UACGUAGGGUGCAAGCGUUGUCCGGAAUUAUUGGGCGUAAAGAGCUCGUAGGCGGUCUGUCGCGUCGGCUGUGAAAUCCCGAGGCUCAACCUCGGGUCUGCAGUCGAUACGGGCAAACUAGAGUAUUGCAGGGGAGACUGGAAUUCCUGGUGUAGCGGUGAAAUGCGUAGAUAUCUGGAGGAACACCGGUGGCGAAGGCGGCAUCCUGGACCGGCAUUGACGCUGAUGAGCGAAAGCUAGGGGAGCAAACGGG
rnacentral:rRNA from 1 species